GAUGAACGCUGGCGGCGUGCCUAAUACAUGCAAGUCGAGCGAACGGACGCGAAGCUUGCUUCUUUGAUGUUAGCGGCGGACGGGUGUGUAACAUGUGGAUAACCUACCUAUAAGACUGGGAUAACUACGGGACACCGGCGCUAAUACCGGAUGAUCUCUUGAACCGCAUGGUUGAAUAGAGAAAGACGGUGUUGCUGUCACUUAUAGAUGGAUCCGGGCUGCAUUAGAGAGUUGGUAAGGUAACGGCUUACCAAGGCAACGAUGCAUAGCCGACCUCUGAGAGUGAUAGCCGGCAUGGGAGCUGAAACGCGGACAAGGCGCCUGCGAGAGGCAGCAGUAGCCAAUCUGCCGCAGUGGUCGAGAGUAUGACGGAGCAACCGCGCGUGAGUGAUGGCGGUCUUCCGAUCGUAAAACUCUGUUAUUAGUGAAGAACAGAUGUGGAAGGAACUGUGGAGAGCUUGACGGUACCGAAUCAGAAAGCAACGGCUAACUACGUG
rnacentral:rRNA from 1 species